GACGAACGCUGGCGGCGUGCUUAACACAUGCAAGUCGAACGGAAAGGCCCUGCUUUUGUGGGGUGCUCGAGUGGCGAACGGGUGAGUAACACGUGAGUAACCUGCCCUUGACUUUGGGAUAACUUCAGGAAACUGGGGCUAAUACCGGAUAGGAGCUCCUGCUGCAUGGUGGGGGUUGGAAAGUUUCGGCGGUUGGGGAUGGACUCGCGGCUUAUCAGCUUGUUGGUGGGGUAGUGGCUUACCAAGGCUUUGACGGGUAGCCGGCCUGAGCGGGUGACCGGCAACAUGGGGACUGAGAUAGGGCCCAGACUCCUAGGGGAGGCAGAAGUGGGGAAAAUGGAAAAAUGGGGGGAAGCCGGAGGAAGAAACGCCGCGUGGGGGAUGACGGCCUUCGGGUUGUAAACCGCUUUCGCCUGGGACGAAGCGUGAGUGACGGUAAUGGGUAAAGAAGCACCGGCUAACUACGUG
rnacentral:rRNA from 1 species